rnacentral:piRNA from 1 species
UCUAACUUCGUGGGGUGUCAGACAAUACU